ensembl:snoRNA
AAGACUAUACUUUCUGGGAUCAUUUCAAUAGUUUAUGACUUGAGAAAUGUGUUUCUAAAGUGUUUGGUCUCACUGGCCACGAUGAUGAGUUGUGAUACUCCCUUCUGAGCGUGAAGCUGACAGAGAAUAUUGAUUCACUUCAUGUGUUUUCUGUCAUUGAUGAUCGUUCUUUGCUUCUUUAUGGAGCUUUGAGGAAGGGAGUAUGAUCAGAGUGGAA